UAGAUCUGGAGCUCCUUCAGGGCAGAGACCAUGAUUCACCCAGCAAAGCAUGUGGUGUCCAGAAUAGUGUUUGACAGCAGUGGAUAUUUAGAGAAGAGACCAAGAGAUCAACUUCAGUUGCUUCCUAUGAAGAAUCUAUACGCUUCCUAUGAAGAAUCCUACCUAACAUUACGGAAUGAGUGCUCAAAAAUCUGCAUAGAAAAUUGGGGAUCCUUUCAGCUGCUACCUUCCUUGGAAUACCAGACUGGAGGAACUAAGAUGGGAAAUCAUGUAUCUCAGAGGAGAAGGGGUAGGGAGUGGAAGAGAGAAGCAGGGGCAGCGUGGGGAGGAGUUUGUUAAAUAAAUCUAUACAAAACAGAAUUUUAAAAUACCUUAUACAUUAAA